rnacentral:rRNA from 1 species
CCCUUAGAUGUUCGGGGCCGCACGCGCGCUACACUGAAGGAAUCAGCACGUCUUUCUCCUUGUCCGAAAGGACUGGGUAACCCGCUGAACCUCCUUCGUGCUAGGGAUUGGGGCUUGUAAUUCUUCCCCAUGAACGAGGAAUUCCCAGUAAGCGCGAGUCAUAAGCUCGCGUUGAUUACGUCCCUGCCCUUUGUACACACCGCCCGUCGCUACUACCGAUUGGAUGGUUUAGUGAGAUCCUCGGAUUGGUCCCGGCGCGGCCUCUGGUCGUGCCGGGGUGCCGAAAAGAAUGUCGAACUUGAUCAUCUAGAGGAAGUAAAAGUCGUAACA